CGAACGCUGGCGGCGUGCUUAACACAUGCAAGUCGAACGGUGAAGGGGCCUGCUUUUGUGGGUCCUGGAUGAGUGGCGAACGGGUGAGUAACACGUGAGUAACCUGCCCCCUUCUUCUGGAUAACCGCAUGAAAGUGUGGCUAAUACGGGAUAUUCUGGGUCUGUCGCAUGGUGGGCCUGGGAAAGAUUGCGCCUUUUUUGGUGUUUUUGGUGGGGGAUGGGCUCGCGGCCUAUCAGCUUGUUGGUGGGGUGAUGGCCUACCAAGGCGGUGACGGGUAGCCGGCCUGAGAGGGUGGACGGUCACACUGGGACUGAGACACGGCCCAGACUCCUACGGGAGGCAGCAGUGGGGAAUAUUGCACAAUGGGCGCAAGCCUGAUGCAGCGACGCCGCGUGAGGGAUGGAGGCCUUCGGGUUGUGAACCUCUUUCGCCAGUGAAGCAGGCCUGCCUCGUUUGUGGGUGGGUUGACGGUAGCUGGAUAAGAAGCGCCGGCUAACUACGUGCCAGCAGCCGCG
rnacentral:rRNA from 1 species